rnacentral:rRNA from 1 species
AGUGAAACGGCAACAGCUCAAAUUUGAAAUCUGGCCUCUUUUGGUCCGAAUUGUACUUUGGAGAAGGUGCUUCGGGUGCGACGGCGAUCUAAAUUCUCUGGAAUGAGGUUACAUAGAGGGUGAAAGUCCCGUCUGCGAUCGAUCGUCAACCCCAUGUGAAGCCCUUUCGACGAGUCGAGUUGUUUGGGAAUGCAGCUCUAAUUGGGUGGUAAAUUUCAUCUAAAGCUAAAUAUCUGCCAGAGACCGAUAGCGCACAAGUAGAGUGAUCGAAAGAUGAAAAGCACUUUGAAAAGAGAGUUAAACAGCACGUGAAAUUGUUGAAAGGGAAGCGUUUGCAACCAGACUUGCUCGUGGGUGUUCAGCCGUCCAUCUGGUCGGUGCACUCUCCCACGGUCGGGCCAGCAUCGGUUUCGGCGGUCGGAUAAAGGCCUUGGGAACGUAGCUUUCCUUCGGGGGAGUGUUAUAGCCCGGGGUGCAAUGCGGCCUGCCGGGACCGAGGAAUGCGCUUUUGCUAAGAUGUUGGCGUAAUGGUUGCCAGCGACC